rnacentral:rRNA from 1 species
AUGUGGCAGUUCAGUUGGAAGAACUAUGCAUACCUGAUGCAUGCACCUCUCUGUAUUCUACACCAGGUAUCCCUGUGUUCAUACAGUGGAAGAUCUCAACCCCUUUUGUUUAUCUACAGUACCUGCAGCCAGCUCCCCACAGCUGGUCAUUUGGGUGUUCCAACACCUAGCUGCUUGUCCUCAUGCUGUAUUGUUAUUAUCAUUCAUAGGUUCUUCAUUCAUGAAUUUCUGAAAUUGUUCCCACUCAAAUACAUAUAUUUCUCUCUUUUAUACUACAAGAGAAAGAGAGAUCUAAAGCUGACUUAUAUGCUCUGUCAGGUCCUAAUCACACCUUUCGAUCCGCUGAAUCGCUCUAAAUUUCAUUCCUUUUGCACAUGUCUGCAUCCACCUUGCACGCACAGGGGGCUGGGUGUGCGGGAUGAAAGCUCCUGGACAUUGAUCAGAGAAUCAUGUCACAUGGAGUGCUGCAUCUCUGAAAGCACCCUGUGCCUUAAGGGAUCAACAUGA